GUAAUUCCGGUGAAGAUGCCGGAUACCUGCGACAGGACGGAAAGACCCCAUGGAGCUUUACUGUAGCUUGACAUUGGGUCUUGGUACUACAUGUACAGGAUAGGUGGGAGGCUUUGAAACCAGGACGCCAGUGUUGGCGGAGCCAUCCUUGGGAUACCACCCUUGUAGUACUGGGACUCUAACCAUAGGCCAUGAAUCUGGUCUUGGGACACUGUCAGGUGGGCAGUUUGACUGGGGCGGUCGCCUCCCAACAGGUAACGGAGGCGCUCAAAGGUUCUCUCAGUACGGUCGGAAAUCGUACGUAGAGUGUAAAGGCAAAAGAGAGCUUGAUUGCAAGACAUACAGGUCGAGCAAGGAUGAAAAUCGGACUUAGUGAUCCGGUGGUUCUGCGUGGAAGGGCCAUCG
rnacentral:rRNA from 1 species